CUAGUUUUGCUAAUUAUUUGCUACGUAUUUUCAAUUGUUCAAACAAUAAAACCGAAAGCAAAAAGAGAAAUGGUAGUUGCGAAGAGGAAAAUUCCUAAUCUGUGUAUAACAAUUAUCUAAAACUUGCAGUGCUAGUUUUACUAAUUACAUUAAAAAACAUAUAUUUUAAAGAAAUUGUGAUCAUAAAACCACAUGCCAUAGAUGCUGGUUUGCUCUAUUAGGUAUAUACCACCUUUCAUUUUUCCCCAACUUGGCCAGGGACAACUUCCAGUAUGGGUGUGUGACUUUUUUUUUUCGGUCUGCCCGUCUCACUCUCUCUUUCUCUCUGACUUUUUUUUCUAUCGUUCUUCGCUUGUCUCUUUCUUGUUGUGUAAUCACUUUGGGACAAACCAGAGAUCGCUGAAGAGUAAUAACUGGGCGAAAGUUUUUAUUAGCAAGACAACUCUUUCACCCCAUGUGUAGACCUCAAUAAAUUUCACCCCUUUAUUCCCAGAAUGAACUUUCGCCGCGUGGAGGUGAACGAGGGCGGAUCAUGGUGGUUUCUGUCCCAUACAGAGGGGCACUUUCCUCGCUCUUGUUCCCUGGUUCCUAAUUUAUUUCUGUAACAUUAAAUCCGUCCGAACUGCCCGUAAAGCCACAAAAAUGUUUGAGGAAAUCCUUCUCUUCCUGGAAACGUGCAUUUUAUGCAUAUUUUGGGAUUACGUUAACGCCGCGAAACCAGCCAGUGCGUCAUGUGGAAAGGCUGGUCCUCUACGCUAAAAUAUCAACAAUCAAGAGUGGCGCUGGUUGAAACGAGCAUUCAUCAUCUAUCCAGGCGCCAGUUACGUGUUAGUCAUCUCCGAUAUCUGAUUACGUCGUCUACAACCCGGCCCUGAUGGCUACCUCAGCUCUGUAACGUGAUUCUUUAGUAAAGAUGACCAGAUCUCUCAUCUGCUCAUAAUGAGCUCAGAGGGUCAGAGAUGAGCUGGCAAAAGCAAACCACACCUUUGCCU